GACAAAUACAGGUGAAACUGAAGUGUCAAAA
rnacentral:piRNA from 1 species